CUUCCUCCAAAGGCGUUAUUGUCCCAUCAGGUUUUAGUCCCAUUGGUUUAAGCAACUCCUCUCUAGAAAAAGAGAUAAAAGAGAGAGAAAAAAAAGUAUUCACCAGCAUCACACACACACCCCUCCCCCCCACCCAAAUCCACAACCUUUUAAAAAGAAAAGUCUUUAAAAACCAAAGUAUUUUCCCUUGAGCUUUCUCUGUGUGUUUGUAAUAGGAAAGAUGAAAGGGGCAUGGAAAGAAAAAGAGGGAAGAGGGAGAUAAAAGACUUCAUUCACACAGGCCAAACCUACUAAGCCAAUUAAAAGUAUGAAAAGUCAAGGUCUAAAUGGGCUCAGGACAAGGAGCAGGUCUCUUCUGUUUUGAAUAAUUAACCUUUUUUUUUUUUUUUGGUGGAUUGGUUUUGUUUUAGACAAGUUGAAGCUGCCAAAAUUUCACCUGCCCCAGUGGUUGGAGCAUACAAUUAAAUGGCUGAUUUGAUAUGCAUACACUUCAUUCAAUGGAAUAAAUCUGUCGGUUUUGAUUUUGCCUCAGUCUCUAGUGAUAUGUAAGUACAUGUUGAUUCAUUUCAAAUUAGUUGGCCUUCCCCAACUCUCUCCCCGACUUUUCUUUCCUUCUCUCUCUCUCUUUCACUCUUUCUUUCCUCCUCCUCCUCCUUUCUAAAAAACACCAUUGCUUUUGUUUGUGGCAGUUUAAUUAUGGGAUUGACAGCCAUUUUAAUCUCUUCAAAGCUCCGCAACUGCCGCUUUUCAGCUAAUCCAAUUAUAUCUACUCCACAAGUUACAGCCUCAUCUAAAGAUGAUUAAUUAUUGAUUAAGCCAGUCAAAAAGCAUUAGGAAAGAUUUAUUUAAUCUUUUCAUAGGCUCUUAUUUAUUACAUGGAGAUUAUGGUGAAUGUACCUGUUGAGUUGCUAACUCCAGUCCUCCCAUCCCUAGAAAGGUCAGCAGUGUACUUAAGAGUGGCCUUGAAGAGCCCCAUGAACUGCUUAAAACUUAUUUAUCACAGAAAUGGGCAUCACCCCCCAAAAACAUGUCCAUAAGCAAAAACCCACAUGGCAGCAGCUAUAAUGUUGGUGGGAUUUGGAUGGAGGGGAAAUGACUCCCUCCUCACAGUUGUCCCUUAGGCCAACAGAAAGAAGGGCUCCCUCCUGGGAAGGGGCAGCCACACAGUAGUGUAAUGGUGUUACAGACACAGUGAAAUCUCCUGGGGAGGAGUGAGAACAGCUCAGUGGUCAAUGGAUAAGCCAACAGGAGCCUAAUGAAGAGCUCUGGCUAGCUCAGUAGACAACUUCGAAGUGUUUGAAAGCUUUGCUUGGGAAAUGUGAACGUCUGACAGGCUAAAUUGAGGCUCCUGAAUACUAUGAGGGAGGAAAUGUGUUUCCCAAUCCAAGAAAUGGGGUCAGAAUCAUAGAACUUAAAGUUGGAAGGGGUCUGAGAGAUCAUUUAGUCCAACCCCCUUCUUUAAUAAAGGAGACUGAAUGACUCAUCCAAGGUCACUUAUCUAGUGGCAGAGCUGGACCUGGGACAUGGGUCUCCUGAAUCCUAGUCCAGUGAUCUUUGCAGCCCACCACAUCUGGAUUAAUUGCCCUAACUGCAUUGGAGGAGCACACUGAGUUCAUGUCUUCAACAUCUGUUCAAUGACUAUGUGACAGGAACUAUGUCAUAUACUGGGAGGUAAGGAAGACUGGGUACAGCUGCUGCCUUUGAGGAGCACGGAAAACAAAUAUAUGCAAAAGUCAUUUUGAGCAGAAUGAGGUAAAUGCUGUAAGAGAAUUAUGAACAAAGAAGUGAGGCAGCUCCUGAGAUGAAGCACUGACCAGGCUGCCUGGGGAGGGCACUGUCAAGUGAGGUGUCAGUGAGUGGCCCUGCACUAGGCAGAUGGGCACAGAGCAUUUCAGAUAAAAGAGACUGUAAAGAGCUCUGAAUGGUCCCACUGACGUGUGUGAUUCUCUAUCUUUUUAAACCUUUUUGGAUUGUGUCAGCUCAUCUUUUCUAUCUCUGUGCUCUCAUGAAGCCGGGAAAGGGCCCAGUGUUUGGGGAAUGGUGAGGUUCAAUGAAGGAGGGGCAGGAGGUAAGGCUGCAAGGGUAGUUUGGGAUGCAAUAGUCAAAAAUGUCUUAAAUGCCAAAAUAAGGAGUUUAGAUUUUACCCUAUAAAGAGUGUUUGAUUACGUUUGUUUUAUAAGAAAGUACCUCUGGCAGCAGCAUGAUAGACACAUUGGAAUUGGUGGCAGAUAGACAAGUCAUUAGGGGGGUCAUCAUAAUAGUGUGUGGGGGAGGAGACAGACAGCUGGAUUAAGUCUGAGGUUGUGGGAAGAAAAGGCAACAUUUCUGAGGUAGAUCUCAUGACUCACUGGGAGGAAAAGGGGUUGGAGAAUGAGAGUAGUAAGUAGAGAGUUCCUGUUGUUUCAGCUCAGAUGACCAAGUGGAUGGUGACUCUAUUCAAUGGGGCCAGGACAUAGGAGAUGGAGAUUUGGUGGGGAGAUUCUGAUAUAUUUUAGGACUUGAAGGGCUUGAGGUGCCUACAUGACAACCAUGUAGAAAUGUUCAGUGGAGAGCUAGAAACAACGUUUCCAUUAAAACUUCUCUCUAGCACUGACGUAAAUUACAUACCUAUAUUUUAAAUAAAUUCCUAGUUCUGAUUGUGCUAAAGGACUUUGUGAUGUUGGACACUACAUAUUAACAACUGAAGCAAAAGGAGAAGAGGGAGAACCUGCUGGGAAUGAAACACUGAGGGUCUGAAGGGGUUGGUAAACUCAGGUGUGGGGUGGGGACUGAAGGGUAGGGAUAGGUAAAAGUAGGAUUGGCAGAUGGGACUGAGUGAUAAACUGCUGGGUGGAUAUACCAUCACUCCUGAGACUAAAACUACUGCAUCUCUUUGAUAAAAAGAUGAUUCUGGGGCUAGCUACUAACUUGUGUGAAGUAUCUAGCACUUUCUCAUCUAAACCCAGAAGUAAUAUUUUCAAAUAAGUCUAUCAGCUUUACCCUUGCUCCCUAAUCCAAUUAUGCAAAUAAUUAAAAAUAUUAGUUUUAUGGCCAAAUUAUAGGAUUUCAUUAUGGAACAACGGGCCUAUAUUUUAAUUCUUACUUGUGAACUAUUCUCAAGCAUUUACUUUCUGGGUGCUUUGUAUCAACCCCCACUAAAAUGGAAGCUCCUCUGAAGGUAUGAAUUAUUUUCUUCUCCACAUGGCUCUACGUAAUGCCUGGGCUCAUUGAUACUUCUGUAGGAAAGGUGUCAGUGAACACUGGCCAUACAAUCAUGCAUUGUGCAAAUGAAUUAAGGCAGCAAUGUGAUGUCAUGGAAAGAAAAAAAAGAUCUGGAGUCAGGAAGUCUGUCUGAAGUCCUGGUUCUCCUCCACUUACCAGCUGUGUGAUCUUGGGCAAGCUUCCGAGUCUCAGUUUCCCUACCAGUGAAAUGGGGGUCGUGAUAAUCUUGGCUGUACCUACUGACUAGUGAAGAUGUAAGUAGUGGUAGUAAUAAUAAUAAUAAUAAUAAGGUAGACCAAAGAGUUGUGAAUUGUACAGAACAAAUAUUCGUUGUUAUUGUGGUAUAGUGAAAAGCACAUAUAGGUUUUGGAGUCAGACGGACCUGUGCUCUAAUUCUGGAUCGACCAGUCACUAGCUGUAAGAACAUGAACUCACUGAAUUCCAAUUUCCUUCUCUGUAGAAUUAGGACAGGAACACAUACCUCACACUAAGUUGUGAUGAGGGCAAAAGGCUACUAUACAUACAAAGUGUAUAGUAUAACAUUAGGCUGGAAUGUAGUUAGAACCCACAAAUUGUCGUUCCUGUCCCUUAAGUGCUUACAGAAGGUUUUCCCAUGCUAGUUAGGGAUUAAGUGGGGGAAGAAUAUGCAGAGGCAAAUAAAAGACAUGGUCCCUGUCCUCAAGAAGCUUUUAGUCAGUUCAGAAAACACACACACAUUAAACAAUAUUGAAAGAGUUACAGAACAGCAGAUCAACAAGCUUGAGAUGAUUAACAGGCAGAGAGCCCUGCUUUCUUUAAGCUUUAAAAUUUGUCAAUACACCCUUACUGUAUUUGAAGUUGGUUUAAAGGAGAUUUCUUGUCCUGUCUGGGAGUAGAAGGAGAGGAUCAUUUACAGAUGUGUGACUGUUUGUUCUAAUUGACCCCAGGCUUAUUUCUCAUACCCCCAUCCUAACUUUUCUCAUCUUCUUCCUCUAUCCUUCAACUAGUGGCCCACAAAUAUCAAAAUGAAAUAUUUGGUACAGAGACUCACUCCUAAAAGGCUUGGUAAAUGACCUGGUUAUAUUGGACUGUCUCAUUUAUAAUCUGGGACUAUUUCAUUUGCAAUCUGUUGUAUCUAGAUCAGCAAGAUGUGGACAGAGAAUGGGAAGCUUUAAUGAACACCACAGAAAUAUUCCUUCACCAGUCGUAUGGCUAUGCACAUGUGAGAGGGACACAGGAGGAGACAGGGAUGCUGACCACAGGCUCCUUGCAGUAGGUGGACUCAGGGGCCAGACUGUAAUGGCAGUGAUGGACAUGGAUUCACAGGGAGAAAGGCAUCCCAGAAGCAGAAGAAUUAGUCAAGCAGAGGCACAGAAGCAAGAGUUAGUUGUGUGCAGGGACUGGCAAGCAGGCUGGCUCGGCUGAGAUAAAGGAAAAAAAAAAAAACAACUCAAAAGAGAUGCGGUAUAAAAGAGGAUUUGAAUGGAGACCUUGAAUCCUAGGCUGACAAGUCUGGACUUGAGUACAAAGAUAUAUUUUAACAUUUUCCUGAGCCACCGUUUGCCUAGGCUGCAUGACAUACCAAUUCUUAUGGAAGGACUCAGUGCUCACCAUCCUCGAAAACCUGAUUCAAAACCUAUCUUGCCAUUCUUGCGUGCUCCUAAAAGAAGAGAAAAAGGCCUCCAGUUAGAGGCCAUCAACAAAAAUGCUGAAUGGGUCAUCGUAUUUCCUAAAAGUCAAGAACAAAGAAGACCCAGACAAGGCUUCUGAGAACUAUGGAGACGUAUCCAGAUGCCACACUGAAAAUACAAUUCCACCACCCAUCCAUUAUUUGCUCAGGCAUAUAACAAGACAUCUCUUUUCACUGGUUUCUCUUCUGCCACCUGUUAAAUUAGAAAAACAACUAGUCUUAUAAAUGAAUAAAGGUGCUUAUUAUAGAUACAUACCACUUCCCAAGCAAAGAAAAUCAGGCCUUAGAAGAAAGUAUAAGGGAAGGUAGAUGUAUUAACUAUGUAGAUCAUGCUUAUUUGCCUCUUGAGAGAUGGCUUCUCUCCUCAAAUUCAAUGGAGCUGUAAUUUGAAAAAUCAGGCCUGUAGGCACUUUUAGGAUAUAAUGACAUUUGCACACAUGAUCACAUGCUUCAGGGAAAAAAAUGAAAUCAGGAGGACACACUGGUAAGCUGUGGGCUUAUUGUGGGCACCACAGCAUACAAAGUCACUAUAUGAAUUCCCAGAUUAGGACACAGUUUGAUGGUUUUCUUGGUUCUCUUAAGAGCUUGGUGGAAAUUAAGUCUGUUUUACAUAAGGUAACCUCAAGUCCCCUGGCUGCUAAAAUGAUAUAAUGGUUUGCUCUGAAAUUAGCUACUAAAGUAACACAAUUCUUGCUAUCUGAGUAUAAAAGCAGAAGGCAGAAAUUCAUUCUUACAGAGUAAGAACUCAUUUUUUGCCAUAGAGUAAAACAUUCCAACCCUCCAAAGUCAGUCUAGGGAUUUGGGUUUCAUUUUUUCCUUUAAAAAGACAUUUUUCCCCUGGAUAUUCGGAAGAAUGUAAACAAAAGCCACAGAAAACACAAGUUAGGGCACUGAAGUAUAGCGUAGCACUCUCUUAUGGGAAAAAUGCCAGUGUGCUGUGGCAGAAGGCAGAUGAACACUGUCUCUUCUCCCGCUCCCCACUUCAAACCAGAGUCUCAUGUAGUUUCCCUACCCAGAAAGGAAGAGAAAACAAAUAAUAGCCAUUGUGACAACAAAGACGUGAGAUUUCAUAAAAUAGAUUACUUUUGGUGGAACAAAUACCUGACACCUUUCAACCUCAAAUAGUACAGUCUGAGACGCCACAGUCCAGGUUUCAAUCUUAACGCUAUGAAAUUCUGGAGUUAGUUUUAUUUCAUUCCAAAACUUGGAGUCUUAAGAUGCUUUAAGAACACUAAUUGUGGUGGACAUUUUAUUGGGUAAUUAUAUUUAUCAUGAUCUCCUCCACCUUGUCUCUGCUCCUCUGUCCCAUUUUGUAGCACUCCAAUCUUGUGACUUCCAAUUAGGUGACAAGAAGUGUCUAAAUUCUUAUCUGUGGUAUUUCAUCAUAAAUUUUGUAUAAGACUAUUAUAUGAACUGACAACAGCUAUGGGCCUGGAGACAAAAGGAUUAAGACACACUAAAA
rnacentral:lncRNA from 10 species